UACAGAGGGGGCAAGCGUUAUUCGGAAUUAUUGGGCGUAAAGGGCGCGUAGGCGGCCCGGCAAGUGGAAGGUGAAAUCCCUCGGCUCAACCGAGGAACUGCCUUCCAAACUGCCUGGGCUUGAGUCCGGGAGAGGUGAGUGGAAUUCCCAGUGUAGCGGUGAAAUGCGUAGAUAUUGGGAGGAACACCAGUGGCGAAGGCGACUUACUGGACACAUAUUGACGCUGAGGUGCGAAAGCGUGGGGAGCAAACAGG
rnacentral:rRNA from 1 species